AAAAUGGGUGAAAGGGAUUAAGAGGCAUAAACUUCCAGUUACCAAACAAAUAAGUCACAGCGAUGAAAAGUACAGCAUAGGGAAUACAGUCAAUAAGAUUGUGAAAAUGUCGUUGGGUGACA